rnacentral:misc_RNA from 1 species
GAAAAAAAUAACUGGAAAUAAAUAUGAAUGGAUCACUAUUAAACACAUAUAUCCACGCAAUUUUAUGUGCAUUCGACAGUAUCGCCACAUUACACGAACAAGCAAAAAUUUACCAAUGAAACCACAAAUAUUUGGUUACAACUCACAAUCCACUUAAAGAGAAUAGCUAUCAAUCAAAAUAGAGGGCCCAAUUAUCCGCCGAUAAUGUAUUAGCCAAUUUACAGCAAUCCAUCCAUGACCGAGUUAAUAACAAUAAUGGACUGCAAUUUUUUACUCCUUGGACGACUUGUUGAUUAGAGACUUGUGAAUGUGAGGGAUCACACCACCUCCAGCUAUGGUUCCUUUGAUGAGGGUGUCAAGUUCUUCAUCACCACGAAUUGCUAGUUGCAAAUGCCUCGGUGUUAUACGUUUCACCUUCAGAUCCUUGCUUGCAUUACCAGCCAGCUCCAACACUUCUGCUGUGAGGUACUCUAAGAUAGCAGCAGAGUAUACGGCUGCUGUUGCACCAACUCUUCCAUGUGCAGUUACCCUAGAUUUCAGAAGACGAUGGAUACGGCCAACAGGAAACUGCAAGAAUAGAUGCAGAGUAAAGUUUAAAAAAAGGCUGUAUUCAUGAGGAAUUUGAAGGCUAAAGUUAAGAGUUUGGAUUCAGAGCUAUGGAAUAUAGGCAUUGGGAUUAAGAAAACCAAAAGCAAUCACAGGAAGCUUGAAAUUGCUUCUAGAAAAGAAAUGCAAACAGAACAGAAUAAAUAACAUGCAAACAAAUUGCAAUACAAAGUGAGAGAUUCCUGUACUGGAGACUUUCUAAAGAAAAACAUCCAAUUCUAUGUAGUUAAAACUCCAUGAAAGAAUGCACACAAAAUGCAAAGGUACCCUCACCACUGUAGAUAAUGUCACUGAUCUAUAGAAUAGCAUCUUAAAACAAUAGCCUUGAACUGAGAUAUAUCGUUCCAGCCAUUUUAUGGGAUCUACUGUGUUGACAUCAUUAUUUAGGAAAUUCAAAGGUGCUAGAACUUUGAUCCCAUCCCAAUAAAAGCUCUCAUAACAAUUCGCCAAGCCAAAAAAGAAAGAAAAUCGAGAAUUAAAUUUCCCGCUUCACAUCAUUUAGAUCUCCAAACUACAACUUCCCAGAUAAAUUAACGCAAAUGGUUCAUCAAAUUUUAAUAGAAAUAUCAGCACCCAGUAUUCAUGUCUCAAUAAAUUAGAAAUCUUUGACUACAGGACUUCAAUCCAAUUCAUUAAUCACAUUAUAUCCUAGAAGUAACAAACACCCCAUGAAAACUACAACCAAUAUUAACAAGCAAGAGCCCGUCCUAAGGAGCAAGGCAAAACCCAAAAGCCCAGCAAGGCAAUUACAUCAACAUCAAAAAAUCGAAGGGAAUUGAGAAGACAUAAGGGAACCUGCAGACCAGCGCGAGAGGAGCGAGAAGUGGGUUUCUUCUUAUCUUUAUCUUUUGGGGCUGGGGUUUUUCCCGUUAUCAAUCCCUUGGCUCCUUUCCCUGACAUCUCCUUCUCUCCUUUUACUUAACAAGAGCGCGAGAUCAAGCUAAGCUCUUACCAGUUCCUUCCUUCCUUCCGAGAUCUUUUAGUUUUCGAGAUACGAUAAGACAGAGAGAGA